rnacentral:rRNA from 1 species
ACAAGCGGUGGAGUAUGUGGUUUAAUUCGACGCAACGCGCAGAACCUUACCAGGUCUUGACAUCCCGAUGCUAUUCUAGAGAUAGAAAGUUACUUCGGUACAUCGGUGACAGGUGGUGCAUGGUUGUCGUCAGCUCGUGUCGUGAGAUGUUGGGUUAAGUCCCGCAACGAGCGCAACCCCUAUUGUAGUUGCCAUCAUUCAGUUGGGCACUCUAGCGAGACUGCCGGUAAUAAACCGGAGGAAGGUGGGGAUGACGUCAAAUCAUCAUGCCCCUUAUGACCUGGGCUACACACGUGCUACAAUGGUUGGUACAACGAGUUGCGAGUCGGUGACGGCGAGCUAAUCUCUUAAAGCCAAUCUCAGUUCGGAUUGUAGGCUGCAACUCGCCUACAUGAAGUCGGAAUCGCUAGUAAUCGCGGAUCAGCACGCCGCGGUGAAUACGUUCCCGGGCCUU